AGAUAAAGUUGGUAGCCUUAUUGAAAGCCAUAACAUAUUAAUAUAAUGACGAAUAUAAACUAUUUUAUUUUUUUGUGUCUGACAUUUUAUACACCAUCAGUCAACUCUAACCCAGAUAAGGAGACCGCAGAACUCCUUUUUCAAACGAUUAUAAAAGAUAUCAAUCAUCACCAUAAGUAUGCAACUCAAUUGAAUGGCAUGACGCUUAGACAAUUUAUGAAUUAUAUUCCUGAAGGUUCCAAAAACACUGCGCAGAUUGCGGCAUCGCAGCGUUUUGGUCGCUUCCAUUUCGACGACGACACAGUGCCAUUUACACAAAUCAUAGAUCAAGACGAUUUUUAUGGUCUAAUAAAAAAAAUCUGUAACAUAUUAAACAAAAAAAUACAUCAAUACGCUGGACAAAUAGAGGAUGCAAUUGCUAUAAAAAACGCUAAAAAAAAAGAAGCUUCAAAACAAA